ACGGGGAGCAGCAGGCGCGAAACCUUUACACUGCACGAGAGUGCGAUAAGGGGACUCCGAGUGUGUGGGCAUAGAGCCCACACUUUUGUGUACCGUAAGAUGGUACACGAAUAAGAACUGGGCAAGACCGGUGCCAGCCGCCGCGGUAAUACCGGCAGUUCGAGUGAUGGCCGAUCUUAUUGGGCCUAAAGCGUCCGUAGCCGGCCGGGCAAGUCCGUUGGGAAAUCUGUUCGCUUAACGAACAGGCGUCCAGCGGAAACUGCUCGGCUUGGGACCGAAAGACCUGAGGGGUACGUCCGGGGUAGGAGUGAAAUCCUGUAAUCCUGGACGGACCGCCGAUGGGGAAACCACCUCAGGAGGACGGAUCCGACGGUGAGGGACGAAAGCUAGGGUCUCGAACCGGAUUAGAUACCCGGGUAGUCCGAGCUGUAAACGAUGUCUGCUAGGUGUGGCACAGGCUACGAGCCUGUGCUGUGCCGUAGGGAAGCCGAGAAGCAGACCGCCUGGGAAGUACGUCCGCAAGGAUGAAACUUAAAGGAAUUGGCGGGGGAGCAC
rnacentral:rRNA from 1 species